rnacentral:misc_RNA from 1 species
UAUUUAAGGACGUUGAAGUCCUGNCAACACAUCGAGAUUACCUUCCGCCUAUUACAUUCAAUACAUUCAAUCUUAGAGUUACUUUCUUCAACUAGUGUCAUGUCUACAGUUAGCGUAGUUUUAGUUGCUUGUCUUUUGUUCUUGGUAUUCACAGAAAAAACGCAAAGUCAAAAGGAGUAUUCCGAGCCUCGUACAAGAAUUGACAGCCAAAUCCAUGACGUCGAAACUGAUGCAAUGUUCAAGAAACAAGCUACGUUUUGUAUCUAUAACAAAUGCCGCAGAAGGAAUUCAAAGAGAAGUCCUGCCAAACGAUCGCGAGUGAUAAUGGAAGACGACAACACGGUAGCAGAGCAAGAAAGCCAAGCUAUGGACUAGGAAUGGACGACAAUACUACGUAUUAAAAAAAGUAGACAUCAAGAAAGAUUUCGAAAUAUGAAAACUUCCACAUUAAGAAAUAUUUAUUUUACUUACAACUUCAUUGCGAAUGCUUAAAUUUAUUUAGAUACGAAUUAAUGUAAAACGUUGAAAUAAAUACUCAGAAGUUAUAAAGCGCUUUCAGUCAAAAGCACACUUGAAGCAGGUGAACAGUUCAGGCUUCAAGUUAUAGAUAUUCAUUUUUAUUGAUCUCGAUGAUUGCGUUAAACAACAAUCUCUAUCUAUUGGCACAAGAAAACUUAAANGAUUGGAGUGUUUGCCGGAAAACACCGCUAUGAAUAAAAAGCAGGUCAAAUGACGCGAUUUAAGGCCAAAAAUACACAGUAAUUCUUUAACUGACUCACUUUGUAAGUUUUCGCUGUCAAAUAACUGAAAAUGCAUUUAAUGUUGAUAAAUAAAUACACCACUAACACUCA